GAAUGGAAGUGUUCAUCCUUCAGUUUCUUCCAUUGUGUUUUCCGUCCAGAAUCAUAACUAGCUGUGUUUCUGGCAUCUGCCUGAACUGGAAGAGGUCUUAGUAUGAAUCCCUUGUGGAAAAAUGAUGACUUGUACUCACUUUUUUUAGUGUAAGGCUUAUUGGUCUUUCAAGAGAUAGUUUGUUGGUGUAGGAGUGUCCACUCAUUUGAGAUGUUUUCCUUUCGCGUGUUCCUUGUUGUUUUAGCUUCACUUGACCUAGUCAUGUAUGCUCUGUGCAUUCGUGUAUUAUUCCUUCUAAUUUGUGGGGUGUACGCCAAGGCUUAAAUCAGUUUCAGUUGUACAUGUUUAUUAUGGAUUCAGGAAGGGCAGCUGAAAACUAUCCUCAGAGUAAUCCUGAGAAUUUUCUAUUGCUUCUUUUUUAAAAAAGACACUAAAGCAUUAGGAUUAAUUAGAAUUAGCUCUGCUAAAGUUGAGUUUGUUUCUGAAUUUGUUUUUGUAGGUAAUUGGAAAGUAACUCAAUCAUUAUUUAAACAUGGGUUCUUCUGGAUUCACCUACAGAUGUUUUUCUAGGAGAAAAAAUGUCAGCUUGUAAUUUGCUGUUAAACUAUCAUAAGAUUAUACUGGACAUGAGGCAUUCAGGGUGUAUGUUAUGUGUUAAAAUUUGAAUACAUGCAUAGUAGAUGGACUGUUGUUUUAUAUUAGCAUUUUUAUUUUUGGUAUCAAGCCUCUGUUUUUGAAUCCAUUGGUUAAACGUAUACUUGUCUUUAAGAAGUAGAAGAUUUUUUGAGAGAAAGAGAGGUAGCCUUUUGUCUUUCAUAAGUAAAUUCAUGGAAGGCAUUUUAGAGAUGGAUUUUCUGUGGCAAGACUUUAUCCCACAUGAUGUUGAAACUUUUAUUAGUCAGGCCUUAUCAAAUUUCCAUUUAGCACUUUUCCCCCUCCAUUUGAACAUCAGGACAUGAAGAGAAUUUAAAUAGCCUAUAAAUUCGCACAUAACGAUUCAUGGAAUCCAAAUGCUUCCUCUUACAUUUUUGUUUUGACUUUGUAAUGAAGAUGAUGUGGUGAAUGGUGGUCACUGUUAAUAAGACGAUGUGGAGGGAUGGACCAGGAAGGCAGCAGUGCCCAGUAAAGAGACUCACAGUUUAUAAUGGGAUUUAUUUUUCGUAAGGAUAAUAUUUAAGUUCCCAUUUUUAAAAUCAUCUUGACACUAGCUCUUAAUUAAUAGCAUUUCUGCCUAAAAGUCCUCCAUUAAUAAGCAACUAGCAAGCCAGGCUAGAGGACACUCCACUGUGUGUAAAUAGGAAGAUCUCGUGCCUGUGUGCAUUGGCUUAUAAGUAGAGCUGAGGGGCACGUGGGUAUUUCCCUCUGUGUGUGUGUGUGUGUGUGUGUGUGUGUGCGUGCGCGCGCGCGCGUUGGGGAUGAGGGUGGGCCCUUUGCUCCCGAGGAUGCUUUGUAGAUGUCUUUUGUUUGCAUCUCUUCCUCCUUUCCUUUGUCUGCAGUGGUUGGGUUCUCCUGUGCACCAGCGCCCUAAGUGACAGCUACUGCCACUCAUUAAUCCAAAGCCCAUUUCUUCCCCUCCGUCAUUUCCCUUUUAUAUCAUGGCACCGUUUCAAGUCCUGAUCCCCCUAUUGUGCAUGUGGAGGUUCAGGAAUGGAGAGUAAUUGGUGUUAUUGCACUGUCUUGAGAAGGAACGCUUUUAAUGAAAGACAUGUUCACAUCUGCAAACUAAGAUCAUUGUGUCAUGAUUGCAUAUUGUUGGGCUUCUUGGAUCGUCUGUUUGCAGUCAGAGGUUUUUUUUGUGGGUUCAGAUCCAGCAUCUCAGACUCUCAUAGUUCAUGAGGUCUUUAUGAUUAAAACACACACUCAUGUGUAUGCAUAUAUAUAUGUAUAUACCUGUGUCUCUCUAUAUUUUCCUUUAUAAUGGAUUAGACAUUAUGAAAUCCCAAUAGAACAUGAAACUGCUCUGUGAGUGUACACGUCCUCCCAUGCACCAGUGUGAAAAUAAUGGCUUCUUUAUUAUGACACUCUUGGUUAGUCAAACUUUCCUUCUUUCUUUAGCUAUUUUUAAGUGUUGUGAUAUUAACAUCAAAGGAAUGGCUGGUUAAUACUAGCAGGCUUUCAUCUUCUUUACUUUCUCCCAUGCAAUGCAUUCAGAUUUUAUCAUUGUUUUCAUUCUGUGCUUUGCGUACGUGAUCCUUUUGCAUGUUCAGAUUGGUGAUGGUCGGAGCAGAGAUGGCUGAAUUAUCACUUCUAUGGAAAAAUGUUUCUAACGUUAUUGUGAGUAACUCGGCUUAGAGACUUUCUUUCAUCCCGCGUGUUACAUACACUCUUCCUUUUGCACUCCAAAAAUAUAAUUAAAUUCCUUUUCUAAUCAUUUUGAAUCUGGGAUCUAGUUGAGGUGUAUCUUAACAUGCUUGCUAAGUAGGAAUCAAAGAAAAUACAGUUUGGGCUUUAGUGUAGGGAAGGCAGUUGAACUCACGGUAUCAUCUGAUCGAAGUGAGGAGUCUUCCAGGAUGCGGAUCCUGGACGAGAGGGAGGGUGCUGGCAGGUAGACAGGAGAGGGACUGACAAAGGUCAUCAAAUUCAGGUGAGUCUGUGGAAAUGCACAGCUCCAAAUGAGUCGUAUUUGUCAGCAUCAUCACUUGCUGGUAGGUCACUUUGAAAUGUAUUGCAGUGAUGUUAGGAACACUUUUUAAAAACAAUUCGAAUGGAAAUUCUUGCUAUUUGUUAAAUUAUUGUCUAUGAAGAUACUAGGCAGACUAACUUGGGCAUAAGUAUCCUAUGCUCUUUAUAUAAAGUGAAAAAUAGGGGAAAAAACAAAAA
rnacentral:lncRNA from 1 species